UCCAGGUUUUUGCUGUUCAGCAAAAACUUUGAGAAACAAAGUUUAUUCUGCAUUUGUUGAUUUAGAGAAAGCACACGAUAAACUGAGUGGCCUUGAAUUAUGGAACGUUGCUGAAUGCAGUAAGAGGUGUAUGUAUGCAAUGGAAGUAAAGCAUGUGUGAGAGGAAAUGGAAUGUGUAAUGAGUGGUUUAACACUGAGCAAGGAGUAAGGCAAGGCUCUGUUGAUGAACUUCCCAGAGGUAGAUCUGCCCAGUCACUGGUGGACAAAAGGAGCUGAACAACCUGGGGCUUUUGGUCUGAGAAGUGCUACCAUUUUUCUGCUACAAUUUCUCUUCUAAUAAAAGCUAGUAUUGGCAAUCUAGAUACGGUGGCAGCACUGAACAUGUCCCUUGGAAACGAUUAGUGGGGUGUCUCCGUGCCAGGGCAAGGCGGCUGGGUGGACGUGGCCAAAGAGUAAUUGCGGAACGAGAAUUACCUCCCGUAAGGAAAUUUUACAUAUACCAGGUGUUUAUAAACCCACAAACUACUACAUAUUACAUGGGCAGGCAGGGAAGAAGAAAAUAAGCUCUGUCAUGAUUAAAAUGUUGCUUUUAAAAAAAAAAAAUCAGCUACCUGCCUGUUAUCCUAAAAAUAUAUGGCCCAUAUGUAGAGUUUUCCAGAACCCAGGGCAGUAGUUUCUUAGUAUCAAUGAAAUUUGCUAUUAAUAUCAAUGAAAAUUGCUAUUUAUUGUUAAAAGCCCCUCUGAAUAUUGGCAUUCUCCACUACAGCAUCAAAAUAGUCUUGACGGUCAAAAAAUGCAGAGGCAUCAUCUACAAUUUAAAUUGGAAUCUCCUAUAAAUUCAUUAGCUAAAGUUGUAACCAGUAAACUAACCAGUCAGAUCAAUUUAUUACUUGUAAAAAUGUUCGAGGACUAAAAAAACAUUGCAAUCCUCUACAUGUCUACUCAGAAUUAACCUCAUUAAUAAUACAUUUAUUCUUGUGUCCCUGAAAGCUUGAUUAGUUGCUUUAAUUCAUUUAUAUUUACUGUGGAUGUUUUAACUAUUGGAUAUGUUUUUGUUAACUCUUUUGUAAACCACUCUAAGUCUUUACUGAUUUGACAGAAUGCAAAUAGAAUAAAUAAAAAUGAAAUUUCA